CGCAUCUGUGCAUGCAGCAUAUCAAUAAGCGGAGGAAAAGAAACUAACAGGGAUUCCCUUAGUAACGGCGAGUGAAGCGGGAAGAGCUCAAAUUUGAAAUCUUCAAGGUUUUACCUUGACGAAUUGUAGUUUAAAGAAGUGUUUUCUGUUGAAGUUUUGGUAAAAGUUCUUUGGAAUAGGACAUCAUAGAGGGUGAGAAUCCCGUAUUUGACCAUUAUUUUCAGCUGUGUGAUACACUUUCAAAGAGUCGGAUUGUUUGGGAAUGCAGUCCAAAAUGGGUGGUAAAUUUCAUCUAAAGCUAAAUAUUGGCGAGAGACCGAUAGCGAACAAGUACCGCGAGGGAAAGAUGAAAAGAACUUUGAAAAGAGAGUUAAACAGUACGUGAAAUUGUCAAAAGGGAAGCGUUUGACACCAGUGUUGUUUUCUCGAAAAUCAAUUAAAAAGAGUUUGAUUUUGUUGUGUAUUGACCUUAACAGCUUGCAUUUCAAUUUUCUUGCUUUUUUUAAUGCACUUUUCGUUUAACAAGUCAACAUCAGUUUCUUUUGUUGUAAAAAGGUCAUUGGAAGGUGGCUUUCUUUUCGGAGAAAGUGUUUAUAGCCUUUGACUCCUGCAAUCGGAGAGACUGAGGUCUGCAGCGUAGAUCCUUCGGGGUUAGAUACAUUUGUGCUAAGUUAUAGCUUUUUAUAGACAACUUGUUGACUAUGAUUAGUCUUGUAGCUUACUCGCUUAUGCUAUUUUACCUACGCUUAGGAUGUUGACGCGCGUGUGUGCGUG
rnacentral:rRNA from 1 species